rnacentral:rRNA from 1 species
UAGGGAAUUUUCGGCAAUGGACGCAAGUCUGACCGAGCAACGCCGCGUGAGUGAAGAAGGCUUUCGGAUCGUAAAACUCUUUUGUUUGAGAAGAACAAGGACGUUAGAAACUGGACGUCUUCUGACGGUACCUACCCAGCAAGCCCCGGCUAACUACGUGCCAGCAGCCGCGGUAAUACGUAGGUUGCAAGCGUUGUCCGGAAUUAUUGGGCGUAAAGCGUGCGCAGGCGGUUGCGUAAGUCGGAUGUGAAAGCCCCUGGCGUAACCGGGGAGGGGCGUGUGAAACUGGAAGACUUGAUGGCAGAAGAGGAGAGUGGAAUUCCAUGUGUAGCGGUGAAAUGCGUAGAUAUGUGGAGGAACACCGAUGGCGAAGGCGGCACUCUGGACGGUAACUGACGCUAAGGCUCGAAAGCGUGGGGAGCAAACAGG